rnacentral:lncRNA from 1 species
UGUGGGGGCAUAAAUGAAAUCCUAUACUCAUCUCCAUCCAUUCGUCAUUUUUUUAAUUUGGCAGAUCUUAAUAUUUCUAUUCUCAUUGUUUGAUUUCAUUUUUUUAAGUAAACACACACAAUGAGAAUGACCUCUCAUUCUCUUUUCUCAAUCCAAGAAGUAAACACACCUUUAAUUACUUAUGAGUUAUGAAUUGGAAUAAAAUUUUAAGAUCCUUAAUUAAAUGGAAUUCACAGUUUAAUGACUAUUCUAAAAUUAAGACUCGGAUAAAUUGAAAAAAAAAAACACAUAAAAGAGACUACAAUAUUUUCUUUCUUUAAAUUUUUAUUAAUUAUUUAAGAGAGUUUGAAUUUUUUUUCCUUAAAAUUAUUAUAUAAAUUUUGAACUAUUGAUCUUCUGCAGAUCUCACGCAAUUUAAUCAUAGAUAGUCAAAAUUUAAAGUAAUAUUUUGAUAAUAUUAAUUGGUUCUAAUUGAUUUCAAAUUGUAAAAUAUUAAUAACAUGGUAAUUGUAAAAUUAAAAAAAAAAAGAGUCGGAAAAUGUUUUUAAAAAGAUUUGAGAGUAGACUAAUAAGGGAGAGAGAAAAAUAUCUCGUUGAAUUGAUAUUUUGAACAAGCAACAGGCCCAGCCCAUUGGGGAUUGUGGGUCCACAUAGAGAACCGGGCUAUUUCAGUGACCUCCCCAAGUCAAAGGGAAUCUUGACACGCAACAAGAUGAAUAGUUGCAUCGUAUCAAAAUCAAAGUGGUAUCAACGACCUAUUAAUAUAAUUGAUAGAAAAAUCAUAUCCCAUUAAAUAAUCUAAUUUGUUUCAACUAAAUAUUGUCAGCAUCUAAUUAGAUGAAAAUAAUUUGAAAAAAAAAAAGAGAAAAAGUUGGUGACCUAUCAUUACCGCUGUCAUUCAAUAGUAAAGUUAAAUUUUGUAAAAUUAAUACAAGUUGCUAGAAAAAGCAGUCUUAUUUAUCAAUUAUACUUUGAAUUAACUUUUGUAUUGGAAUUUUAAAAAAACUUAGAUGGUACAUACACCACUAUAUCAUCGUAUUACAACAUAUCAUUAUGUAAAAACAAUGGUUUGCCACAAACAUUGAGAAAGUCGAGAUUGGGCAAAGCCCAUCAUGUCGUUCAUACCAAGUGAUGCUAAUAGUUAAUAGAAGAGAAAAUUUAAUAUAUAUGACAAUAUUUUUAAAAGUAAUACUAUACUUACAAAGUUAUAAUAUAAAAUUUAUAUCUCCAUUGAUGUGACAUACACGUGAUUUUUUUUAUAAAAUUUAACAUGUGGCAAUGAGAUGAUAAGAUAAACGAUCACGCACUACAUGUCAUAUGACAAUUUAUGAUAAUAACUCAUCAUAUGUGCUAUGACUUAUUUACACUUUUAUAAUUCUAUUAUUACGUUGUUUUAAGAUCUUGACUUAUUUUUUCAUCAAUUAGAUCUUUUAAAUCCAACAAUGUAGAUGUAAAAAGUUCAAGUAGCAAUUUAGUCAUAAUGCAUUUAACACUCUAGAUUGAAUAGAUUCAAUAGAUAUAAAAUUAAGUUAAAAAGGAAUCCCACCAUGAAGAUAUCUACCCCUUCUCAUUUGUGAGAAGAGAAAUGUUUGAAUUUCUAUAAGGGGUCAAAUCUAAGUCCCCAAACUACAAAAUUAGGCUAAGAUUUUAGUGGAAGUAGAUUUAUAAGUUAUUUUUGGUAAACUCUGGAUUGCAAUAUAUGUAUUUUCCAAUAUGUUUUGUCGUUCUAUAAUUUAUAAUUAGAUAAAGAAUGCUUUCAAUUAGGGAUGACAAAAUUGACAACAAACUCACAAAUCCGCCUAUAGAAACUUGCUUAUUGUAGGUACUUUUGCAAGUCGUGUGUAGGUUUUGUAUUAAAAAAAAAAAGUCAAUAGACAUCCGUGUGAGUAUUUGUCUACCUGCAUUUUUUUAAAAUUAUCCGUGCCUUUAAUUUUAAUCAUUAAUCACAAAAAUAUAUAAGCUAAAAUUAUAACUCCUGAACUAAUCUUCCUAAUUCUUAAAUCUAACCUAACUCGCUAUAGCCACAAACCCUAUUCCUUCUGGUGUGCGUGUGUGUUUCAAUAAGUAGAAAUUUUAUAUUUUGAAGUUUAAUAUUAUUGAUAUAUUAUUUUAAUUUCAAAUAAUUUUGUUUCUUUUGGUUUAACAACUUGCACCUAAUGAUUGCUUGCUAAAGCUAGGUUUUUAUUUGUUUAAUUAAUUGUUAACGAUAGUUGUCCAAAAUUUACUUGUUAAUAUUGUUAACAAUGCUUGUAUAUAUAUGUAUAUAUUAAAGAACGGGGCUAAUGCAGUGAUCUAAGUUAUGAUGAUUUGCCUACAAUAAAAAUAAUUUUGCGUUAGAUUGAUAUAUU